UUGAGUGAACAAUCAUUAAGGAACUCGGCAAAUUGACUACCGUAACUUCGGGAUAAGGAGGGCCAUUAUGAUUAGUUUAACAUACCUUACAGGUAUGAUUUAAUUAAACUAAUGAUAAGAGGAAACAUAAAAUAAUGUUGUACGACUGUUUAAUAAAAACACAGCACUCUGCAAAGAUAAAAUAUCAAAGUAUUGAGUGUGAUGUCUGCCCAAUGUCGGCUGGGUAACGGAUUUACCUUGGUUUUUAACUGAGGUUUUGAAGGAUACCCCGAUUAAUGGCGGCCUUACCUAUGAGGGUCCUAAGGUAGCGAAAUACCUUGGCCGUUAAAUGCGGUCCUGCAUGAAUGACUUAACGAUACAACAGCUGUCUCGAUGAUUGUCUCA
rnacentral:ncRNA from 1 species